rnacentral:rRNA from 1 species
AUAGGGAGCAAGCGUUAUCCGGAUUUAUUGGGUGUAAAGGGUGCGUAGACGGGAAUUUAAGUUGGUUGUGAAAGCCCUCGGCUCAACUGCGGAACUGCAACCAAAACUGGAUUUCUUGAGUAUUGGAGAGGAAAGUGGAAUUCCUAGUGUAGCGGUGAAAUGCGUAGAUAUUAGGAGGAACACCAGUGGCGAAGGCGGCUUUCUGGACAAUAACUGACGUUGAGGCACGAAAGUGUGGGGAGCAA